rnacentral:rRNA from 1 species
UGCCAGCCGCCGCGGUAAUACGGAGGGUGCAAGCGUUGUUCGGAAUUAUUGGGCGUAAAGCGCGUGUAGGCGGUUCGUUAAGUCUGAUGUGAAAGCCCGGGGCUCAACCCCGGAAGUGCAUUGGAAACUGGCGAACUUGAGUACGGGAGAGGAAAGUGGAAUUCCGAGUGUAGGGGUGAAGUGCGUAGAUAUCGGAAGGAACACCAGUUGCGAAGGCGGCUUCCUGGCCCAAUACUGACGCUGAGGUGCGAAAGUGUGGGGAGCAAACAGGAUUAGAUA